UACGUAGGGGGCAAGCGUUGUCCGGAAUCAUUGGGCGUAAAGCGCGUGUAGGCGGUUCGGUAAGUCUGCUGUGAAAGUCCAGGGCUCAACCCUGGGAUGCCGGUGGAUACUGCUGGGCUAGAGUACGGAAGAGGCGAGUGGAAUUCCCGGUGUAGCGGUGAAAUGCGCAGAUAUCGGGAGGAACACCUAUUGCGAAGGCAGCUCGCUGGGACGUUACUGACGCUGAGACGCGAAAGCGUGGGGAGCGAACAGG
rnacentral:rRNA from 1 species